UACUUGGAUAACUGUGGUAAUUCUAGAGCUAAUACACGCAGGAGGAGUGCAUUUAUUAGACAAAACCAAUAUUGGUGAAUCUGAAUAACUCACGGUCCUGCACCGGCGACGCAUCUUUCAAGUGUCUGCCUUAUCAACUGUUGAUGGUAGUUUAUGCGACUACCAUGGUUGUAACGGGUAACGGAGAAUAAGGGUUCGACUCCGGAGAGGGAGCCUGAGAAACGGCUACCACAUCCAAGGAAGGCAGCAGGCGCGCAAAUUACCCACUCUCGGCGAGGAGGUAGUGACGAAAAAUAACGAGACGGUUGUCUUGUUAUCGGAAUGAGUACAAUCCAAACCCUUUAACGAGGAUCUAUCAGAGGGCAAGUCUGGUGCCAGCAGCCGCGGUAAUUCCAGCUCUGAAGGUGUAUACCACCGUUGUUGCGGUUAAAACGCUCGUAGUUGGAUCUACCGUGGAUUCGGUGCUCUCGACUUGGGAGUCGCUGGUUUCCCCUGGUGCCCUUCACCGGGUGCCUGGGGUGGCUAGCAAGUUUACUUUGAAAAAAUUAGAGUGCUCAAAACAGGCGCAUGCCUGAAUAGUGGUGCAUGGAAUAAUGGAAUAGGAGGUCCUAUUUUGUUGGUUUUCGGGAGCCAAGAUAAUGAUUAAGAGGGACAGACGGGGGCAUUCGUAUUGCAGCGUUAGAGGUGAAAUUCUUGGA
rnacentral:rRNA from 1 species